AUUGAACGCUGGCGGCAGGCCUAACACAUGCAUGUCGAACGGUAACAGGAAGCAGCUUGCUGCUUUGCUGACGAGUGGCGGACGGGUGAGUAAUGUCUGGGAAACUGCCCGAUGGAGGGGGAUAACUACUGGAAACGGUAGCUAAUACCGCAUAACGUCGCAAGACCAAAGAGGGGGACCUUAGGGCCUCUUGCCAUCGGAUGUGCCCAGAUGGGAUUAGCUAGUAGGUGGGGUAACGGCUCACCUAGGCGACGAUCCCUAGCUGGUCUGAGAGGAUGACCAGCCACACUGGAACUGAGACACGGUCCAGACUCCUACGGGAGGCAGCAGUGGGGAAUAUUGCACAAUGGGCGCAAGCCUGAUGCAGCCAUGCCGCGUGUAUGAAGAAGGCCUUCGGGUUGUAAAGUACUUUCAGCGGGGAGGAAGGGAGUAAAGUUAAUACCUUUGCUCAUUGACGUUACCCGCAGAAGAAGCACCGGCUAACUCCGUG
rnacentral:rRNA from 1 species